rnacentral:rRNA from 1 species
UACGUAGGGACCGAGCGUUGUCCGGAUUCAUUGGGCGUAAAGAGCUCGUAGGCGGCUGCUCAAGUCGAAUGUGAAAACUCGAGGCUCAACCUCGAGCCUGCAUUCGAUACUGGGCGGCUAGAGUCUGGUAGGGGGAUCUGGAAUUCCUGGUGUAGCGGUGAAAUGCGCAGAUAUCAGGAGGAACACCGAUGGCGAAGGCAGGUCUCUGGGCCGAUACUGACGCUGAGGAGCGAAAGCGUGGGGAGCGAACAGG